CCUGAACGCUGGCGGCGUGGCUAAGACAUGCAAGUCGCACGGGGUAGCAAUACCCAGUGGCGAACGGGUGAGUAAUGAAUCGCUAACGUACCCUGGACUCUGGGAUAGCUACUCGAAAGGGUAGGUAAUACCAGAUGAGACCACAAGCAGGCAUCUGCUGGUGCUCAAAGGUCCGCCGGUCUGGGAGCAGGCGAUUUCGUAUCAGCUAGUUGGUGAGGUAACGGCUCACCAAGGCGACGACGCGUAGCCGGACUGAGAGGUUGGCCGGCCACAUCGGGACUGAGACACUGCCCGGACUCCUAC
rnacentral:rRNA from 1 species